GAGAAGAAUCUGUAAAGCUCAGGAGGGAUAGCGCCAUGAUGAUCUUAUUUCAUAUCGAUUUUUUGGCGCUAUCCAUCCUGAGUUUCAUUGGCUCUUCUU
rnacentral:pre_miRNA from 3 species